CCUACGGGUGGCAGCAGUGGGGAAUAUUGCACAAUGGGCGCAAGCCUGAUGCAGCCAUGCCGCGUGUGUGAAGAAGGCCUUCGGGUUGUAAAGCACUUUCAGCGGGGAGGAAGGCGGUGAGGUUAAUAACCUCAUCGAUUGACGUUACCCGCAGAAGAAGCACCGGCUAACUCCGUGCCAGCAGCCGCGGUAAUACGGAGGGUGCAAGCGUUAAUCGGAAUUACUGGGCGUAAAGCGCACGCAGGCGGUCUGUCAAGUCGGAUGUGAAAUCCCCGGGCUCAACCUGGGAACUGCAUUCGAAACUGGCAGGCUAGAGUCUUGUAGAGGGGGGUAGAAUUCCAGGUGUAGCGGUGAAAUGCGUAGAGAUCUGGAGGAAUACCAGUGGCGAAGGCGGCCCCCUGGACAAAGACUGACGCUCAGGUGCGAAAGCGUGGGGAGCAAACAGGAUUAGAUACCCGGGUAGUC
rnacentral:rRNA from 1 species